UGAGGCUCGAAAGCAUGGGUAGCGAACAGGAUUAGAUACCCUGGUAGUCCAUGCCGUAAACGAUGAUUACUAAGUGUUGGAGGGUUUCCGCCCUUCAGUGCUGCAGCUAACGCAUUAAGUAAUCCGCCUGGGGAGUACGACCGCAAGGUUGAAACUCAAAAGAAUUGACGGGGGCCCGCACAAGCGGUGGAGCAUGUGGUUUAAUUCGAAGCUACGCGAAGAACCUUACCAGGUCUUGACAUCUUCUGMCARYCUAAGAGAUUAGRSGUUCCCUUCGGGGACAGAAUGACAGGUGGUGCAUGGUUGUCGUCAGCUCGUGUCGUGAGAUGUUGGGUUAAGUCCCGCAACGAGCGCAACCCUUAUUACUAGUUGCCAGCAUUMAGUUGGGCACUCUAGUGAGACUGCCGGUGACAAACCGGAGGAAGGUGGGGACGACGUCAAAUCAUCAUGCCCCUUAUGACCUGGGCUACACACGUGCUACAAUGGAUGGUACAACGAGUYGCGAAACCGCGAGGUUWAGCUAAUCUCUUAAAACCAUUCUCAGUUCGGACUGUAGGCUGCAACUCGCCUACACGAAGUCGGAAUCGCUAGUAAUCGCGGAUCAGCAUGCCGCGGUGAAUACGUUCCCGGGCCUUGUACACACCGCCCGUCACACCAUGAGAGUUUGUAACACCCAAAGCCGGUGGGGUA
rnacentral:rRNA from 1 species